rnacentral:rRNA from 1 species
CCCAGAGGCAGCAGCGGCGGAGGGUGAGUACACGUGGGUAACCUGCCUGUAAGACUGGGAUAACUCCGGGAAACCGGAGCUAAUACCGGAUAGUUCCUUGAACCGCAUGGUUCAAGGAUGAAAGACGGUUUCGGCUGUCACUUACAGAUGGACCCGCGGCGCAUUAGCUAGUUGGUGAGGUAACGGCUCACCAAGGCGACGAUGCGUAGCCGACCUGAGAGGGUGAUCGGCCACACUGGGACUGAGACACGGCCCAGACUCCUACGGGAGGCAGCAGUAGGGAAUCUUCCGCAAUGGACGAAAGUCUGACGGAGCAACGCCGCGUGAGUGAUGAAGGUUUUCGGAUCGUAAAGCUCUGUUGUUAGGGAAGAACAAGUGCAAGAGUAACUGCUUGCACCUUGACGGUACCUAACCAGAAAGCCACGGCUAACUACGUGCCAGCAGCCGCGGUAAUACGUAGGUGGCAAGCGUUGUCCGGAAUUAUUGGGCGUAAAGGGCUCGCAGGCGGUUUCUUAAGUCUGAUGUGAAAGCCCCCGGCUCAACCGGGGAGGGUCUGG